AUCCAGUCGACUAGUCCCAAAUAGGACGAAACGCGCCUUGUCCUGGAU
rnacentral:hammerhead_ribozyme from 1 species